rnacentral:rRNA from 1 species
AUUGAACGCUGGCGGCAGGCCUAACACAUGCAAGUCGAACGGUAACAGGAAGAAGCUUGCUUCUUUGCUGACGAGUGGCGGACGGGUGAGUAAUGUCUGGGAAACUGCCUGAUGGAGGGGGAUAACUACUGGAAACGGUAGCUAAUACCGCAUAACGUCGCAAGACCAAAGAGGGGGACCUUCGGGCCUCUUGCCCUCGGAUGUGCCCAGAUGGGAUUAGCUAGUAGGUGGGGUAACGGCUCACCUAGGCGACGAUCCCUAGCUGGUCUGAGAGGAUGACCAGCCACACUGGAACUGAGACACGGUCCAGACUCCUACGGGAGGCAGCAGUGGGGAAUAUUGCACAAAGGGCGCAAGCCUGAUGCAGCCAUGCCGCGUGUAUGAAGAAGGCCUUCGGGUUGUAAAGUACUUUCAGCGGGGAGGAAGGGAGUAAAGUUAAUACCUUUGCUCAUUGACGUUACCCGCAGAAGAAGCACCGGCUAACUCCGUG